UUCAAGUUUAAUUCAAUUAUAGAACCUCAUGAUUCAAAGGGACUUCAGGGAUUGUCUGAUAGAAGUCUUCAUUGAAUUAUCGAAUCCUGGCCCAAGUGCACAUCAGCUGCUACUUGGCCCUUCUAAUGACAAAAAGUGCAAGAGAGAGCAUCUCAUUUGUUUCCUGAAAGUUCUGAUUGUUUAAAGUUCUAAGUACAAUCAGCCUCCUGAACAUUCCAUUGUAGUUCUUUGAUCUGGAGCCGCACAAAAGCUUCCUCUUUUACAUGUGAGCUUUACCCACUACCCUCAGCCUGGAGGAGGAUUAAAGUUGCAAGGAAUCAUGAUAAUAUCCCACUAGGAGAAAAUCAGGGCAAGCUCAUGGUUGAUCUACCUUUAUGCAAUCCAUUGAUCUACAGACAAGAAUUAAUUAUGGAACUCAACAACUUCUGUCAAAGCACUUUUCGUUUCUGGGAAUACAGCAAUAAACAAAGAAAGGUCUCCAUCCUGGAGAAGCAGAGACCCACCCCAAAUGAUAAUUUGAGGGCCUGGAGCACCCAAGUGAAGUUCAUGUUUCCUGGUUUUUCACUAGUACAAUCCAAAGGACAGUCCAUGAGCCUGUGGUUUCCAAACCUUUAGCCUCCGAUCCUGGGCUCUGCUCUGCUCUGCCUCCAAUGCCUUUCUUCCUUAGGAGGCUGCAAAUGUGUUAUAAAUAAAACCAAAUAACAGGGUGAAGCCAAGGGUCCUCUCACCCUUGGGCCUUAAAGAGCACAGUCUUCAGUGUAAAUUAAAGCUGUGUUUUACCUGUAGAUCUAUCAUCUACUUGCUGUGUGACCAUGAGCAAGUCACAGCCUCUCUGAAUUUCAGUUGUUCAUGCAGUAAAUGGAAAUAAUAUUACCCAUGGCAAAGGGUGGCUGAAAGCACUGAAUGAGC
rnacentral:lncRNA from 1 species